rnacentral:rRNA from 1 species
UUAAUGAGAGUUUGAUCCUGGCUCAGGACGAACGCUGGCGGCGUGCCUAAUACAUGCAAGUAGAACGCUGAUGUUUGGUGUUUACACUAGACUGAUGAGUUGCGAACGGGUGAGUAACGCGUAGGUAACCUGCCUCAUAGCGGGGGAUAACUAUUGGAAACGAUAGCUAAUACCGCAUAAGAGUAAUUAACACAUGUUAGUUAUUUAAAAGGAGCAAUUGCUUCACUGUGAGAUGGACCUGCGUUGUAUUAGCUAGUUGGUGAGGUAAAGGCUCACCAAGGCGACGAUACAUAGCCGACCUGAGAGGGUGAUCGGCCACACUGGGACUGAGACACGGCCCAGACUCCUACGGGAGGCAGCAGUAGGGAAUCUUCGGCAAUGGACGGAAGUCUGACCGAGCAACGCCGCGUGAGUGAAGAAGGUUUUCGGAUCGUAAAGCUCUGUUGUUAGAGAAGAACGUUGGUAGGAGUGGAAAAUCUACCAAGUGACGGUAACUAACCAGAAAGGGACGGCUAACUACGUGCCAGCAGCCGCGGUAAUACGUAGGUCCCGAGCGUUGUCCGGAUUUAUUGGGCGUAAAGCGAGCGCAGGCGGUUCUUUAAGUCUGAAGUUAAAGGCAGUGG